GGCUGGUCUGAGUACAGUGGUGUUUACAACUAAUUGUUCACAACCAGUCACAGAUUUUCUUUGUUCCUUCUCCACUCCCACUACUUCACUUGACUAGCCUUAA
rnacentral:Y_RNA from 1 species